AUGGGGUUUCACUGCGAAGAAAUAUGUCUCUUGGAUCGUACUUUGGUCAUGUUUCUCAAUGUUCCAUUACAUCCUGCUGAAAUUUCAAGUUUAUAUUGGUAUUUUUCUUGUAAUUGCAACCGUUAUUUGUACUUUCAGGAUGCAUUUGUUCUGUGGGACACCUAUGGUUAUCCAAUUGAUUUAACUGAGGUCAUGGCAGUUGACUUCGGGCUAUCUGUUGACAUGGAGGGUUUUAAUGUUUCUAUGGAAGAAGCAAGGCAAAAGGCUAGGAAUGGUCGCUACAAGGCUGGUGGCAAAUCUAUUGUCCUGGAUGCUAAUGCUACAUCACAGCUGCGCAAUCAGGGGCUUACUAGCACAAAUGAUAGUCCGAAAUUUCAACACGAGAUCUAUGACACUGGGAGUAUCGAGGGUCCAUCUGGAUCUUUCACUGUGACCAAUGUCCAAGUGUUUGCUGGCUAUGUCCUGCACGCCUGUUCAUUUCUGGAAGGGCCUCACUCCAAGGCAUUGUCUGUUGGCGAUGAAGUGAAAUGCAAGGUUGAUUACACACGGCGUAGUCUCAUUGCUCCAAACCACACAUGUACCCAUAUGCUGAACUUUGCUCUAAAGGAAGUACUUGGUGACCAUGUUGACCAGAAAGGUUCCAUUGUUCUUCCAGAGAAGCUGAGAUUUGAUUUCUCCCAUGGGAAACCUGUUCAGCCGGAAGAUUUGAGAAAAAUUGAAUAUAUAGUGAACCAGCAAAUAAAGGAUGAGCUAGAGGUAUCUGCACAAGAAAUAAAAUUAGCUGACGCAAGGCGCAUAAAUGGUCUGCGAGCUGUGUUUGGUGAAAUCUACCCUGAUCCUGUAAGAGUUGUAUCGAUUGGUCGCAAAGUGGAAGAUCUGCUUGCAAACCCUGAAAGCAAAGAAUGGUUAUCCAUAUCAACUGAGCUGUGUGGAGGUACACACAUUUCGAACACUGGAGAUGCUGCAGCAUUUGCGCUCAUAUCUGAAGAGGGUAUCGCCAAAGGUGUUCGGAGGAUAACGGCUGUUACUGCUGAGCGUGCCUCCCAGGCUAUGAAGUUGGCAUCAUCUAUCGAUACUGAUAUCAAUGAAGCAUCUAAACUAGACGGAGCGACAUUGGAAAAGAAAAUUGGGUCCAUCAAGAAUACACUGGAUGCAGCUGCUAUCCCAGCUGCUAGAAAAGCAGAUCUAAGAGGCAAUGUCUCAAAGUUGGAGGAUCAACUUAGGAAGGAGAAGAAGAAAAUCUGCGAAGAAAAUAUCCGAAGGGCUGUCAAGACUGCCAUAGAUGCCGCAGAAACUGCUCUUUCUGAAGGAAAACCCUUCUGUGUUACCUAUGCCGAUGUGGGUCUUGAUACCACUGCUCUCCGUGAAGCAGUUGUCAAAGCCAUGAACCAUUCGAGUCUGCUGAUGAUGGUAUUCAGCACAGACGAGGCAUCAAACAAGGCUGCUAUUUAUGCCGGUGUACCUCCCAACACACCCAAUGGCUUCAAGGUGUUGGAUUGGCUUACACCUUCAAUCGCACCACUCAAGGGGAGAGGAGGCGGUGGCAAGAAUGGUCUUGCCCAGGGCCAGGGAAGUGAUGCUUCUCGGAUCAAGGAGGCCAUGGAGCUUGCUACCCAGAUAGCUUCAAUGAAGCUAAACUUCAAUGCUUCUCGGGUCAAGGAGAUCAAAGUCUACUAA
rnacentral:rRNA from 1 species